AUUGAACGCUGGCGGCAUGCCUUACACAUGCAAGUCGAACGGUAACAGGUCUUCGGAUGCUGACGAGUGGCGAACGGGUGAGUAAUACAUCGGAACGUGCCCGAUCGUGGGGGAUAACGCAGCGAAAGCUGUGCUAAUACCGCAUACGAUCUACGGAUGAAAGCGGGGGAUCGCAAGACCUCGCGCGGACGGAGCGGCCGAUGGCAGAUUAGGUAGUUGGUGGGAUAAAAGCUUACCAAGCCGACGAUCUGUAGCUGGUCUGAGAGGACGACCAGCCACACUGGGACUGAGACACGGCCCAGACUCCUACGGGAGGCAGCAGUGAGGAAUAUUGGACAAUGGAUGGAAAUCUGAUCCAGCCAUGCCGCGUGCAGGAAGACAGCCCUAUGGGUUGUAAACUGCUUUUAUAUGGGAGCAAUAAGGUCUACGUGUAGACUGAUGAGAGUACCAUAUGAAUAAGC
rnacentral:rRNA from 1 species